GAUGACCGCUGGCGGCGUGCCUAAUACAUGCAAGUCGAGCGAAUGGAUUAAGAGCUUGCUCUUAUGAAGUUAGCGGCGGACGGGUGAGUAACACGUGGGUAACCUGCCCAUAAGACUGGGAUAACUCCGGGAAACCGGGGCUAAUACCGGAUAACAUUUUGAACCGCAUGGUUCGAAAUUGAAAGGCGGCUUCGGCUGUCACUUAUGGAUGGACCCGCGUCGCAUUAGCUAGUUGGUGAGGUAACGGCUCACCAAGGCAACGAUGCGUAGCCGACCUGAGAGGGUGAUCGGCCACACUGGGACUGAGACACGGCCCAGACUCCUACGGGAGGAAGCAGUAGGGAAUCUUCCGCAAUGGACGAAAGUCUGACGGAGCAACGCCGCGUGAGUGAUGAAGGCUUUCGGGUCGUAAAACUCUGUUGUUAGGGAAGAACAAGUGCUAGUUGAAUAAGCUGGCACCUUGACGGUACCUAACCAGAAAGCCACGGCUAACUACGUGCCAGCCGCCGCGGUAA
rnacentral:rRNA from 1 species